rnacentral:rRNA from 7 species
CCCCGAGAUGAGUUCUCCCUGAGACUUAGAGUCUCCUGAAGGAACGUUGAAGACGACGACGUUGAUAGGCCGGGUGUGUAAGCGCAGCGAUGCGUUGAGCUAACCGGUACUAAUGAACCGUGAGGCUUAACCUUACAACGCCGAAG